UAGAUCAUUGAUGGUGCGCGUUGCUGCGCCCGUCCAUUUUGAAUGUUAUUGAUAGUAUUAGAAAGUUAUGUAACAAUAUGAGGUUUCUUUUUUAUUUGAAAUGAGGGAUUGCAGAAGAGAGGUUGAGAUGUUGUUGUCCAUUUUUAUUUUUGAUUAAAUUUUAGAAGAACUGCAAACAUAACAUAUACUACAAAAUGGCCAGUAAGUGGAGACCAAAGGUUAUGCUAAUCUAACAUUUUGUUUGCAGUGGCAAAGUAUAUCCCUAGCUCCGUAAAUGGCCGGUAAGUGGAAACUAAAGGGACAUUACAAAAUUUUAGAACACAAUGAUGUGGCGUGUUGCUGCGCCCGUCUAUUUGUACAAUACAAAUAAUAGGAAUUUUCUUGAAUAGAUGACUACAUGAAGCACAAUAAAUUCCAAUAAACAUAACUAAAUAUUAGCCAGUGAUCAAAGAAAUCUCAUAUAUAAUCGAUAAAAGCAAGGUUUACACAUAGAAAUAUGAUUGGUACGACAAAAUACACAAUAUUGUAUGGAGUAAAUACAAGUAAUCAAUACUACCAAGAAAAAUAAUAAGUAGCAGAUUGUUUACAUGGAGCAUUAAUGAAAUCUUCAGAUGCCUCUCCAGAAGAGCCACCGUGUUUGGAAACAGAAAAAAUAGGCGAGCCUAAUGCAACAGCCCUUUUCUUUUCAGAACUGCAAUACAGAUAGAAAAUAGAAACUAAAAAGUAUCUUAGGAGAUACCGAUGGGCAACAACAAUAAAAAAUGCAUGCAAAUGUCCAGACUCUGUAAACCCUCAGUGGCAAGUAUUAGAAAAAGGAAAGCAUGUAAUGUUCUCAUCUGAGCUUGCACAUUACUCUAGUCAACAUGAGUUCAGAGACUAUUUGUUUUAGCAAAUACAUAAUUGAGAAAAUAAGGACAAGUUCUGAUAACGGGAAAGUUCAGAACAUCACUGACCUAUCAAGUGACAUAACAGAAAUUGAGAGACCUCAUCAUUAUGAAUUAAUAGGCAGGAAAUUGGAUAUGAAGUAUUACACAAUGCUCACACUCAACAUCUUAUUGUCCGACUUAAGAUAGAAAACCUAGUCCAGGAAAUAGUAUGUACAUCAGAGCUCUUUCUGGUCAGCUUUCUUUUAUCUACAUACCUUUCCAUUACUCGUACAACAAUGCCAUGGGAGGCACACUUAAAUAGGUCUAUACCCUUGAUGUAAUGUCAUUCUAUAAAGUUAUGGGCAUGUGUGGCCCCAGCCAAAUCACUAACAUUUAAAAAUGAUCAGAAAUAUAGUCAUUAGCCUACCAAAAUAACUGUAGAGAGAUUUUAGAGAUCUUUCUAGUCAGCUUUCUUUUAUCUACAUACCGUGCCAUUACUCGUCCAGCAAUGCCCAGUGGACACUUGACUGUUUAGACUUUGAGUCUCUUCAACUUUGUAAGGUAGGCCCAAAUCCUUCCAUGUCUUAGUUUGAAGCUUCGAUAACAUAGUACCAUGCAUACUAAGCCAUAGCCUAGUGGAGAAGGUGAGGGACGCGACCGAAGCAGCGAGGACAGGUAAGAUAGCAAAGAAUCCAAGAGCUGCCGAGGGCCAGCGAGAUUGCUUUCUUAUCCUACAUCUGUGACACCAUGAAAAACUCAGUGUCCGAACAAAAAAAGUACGGCUGGAUUUGUGAUGCGGAUUCAAGAAGAUGCCUACAGACGAGAAG
rnacentral:lncRNA from 1 species